UACGGGGGGGGCAAGCGUUGUUCGGAAUUACUGGGCGUAAAGGGCUCGUAGGUGGCCAACUAAGUCGGACGUGAAAUCCCUCGGCUUAACCGGGGAACUGCGUCCGAUACUGGAUGGCUUGAGUUUGGGAGAGGGAUGCGGAAUUCCAGGUGUAGCGGUGAAAUGCGUAGAUAUCUGGAGGAACACCGGUGGCGAAGGCGGCUCGCUGGACAGUCACUGACACUCAACUGCGAAAGCGUGGGGAGCAAACAGG
rnacentral:rRNA from 1 species